rnacentral:tRNA from 1 species
GGGGGGCUGGUGGAAUUGGUAGACACCCUAGACUUAGGAUCUAGUGCCCUGUGCGUGUGAGUUCGAGUCUCACGUCCCCUACUA